AAAAUCAUAUACGCUUUGUAACAUAACUCAUGUCAUACUUUUGCAUUUCAAUAAUCAGACAACAAAUUUUCUCUUUUACCAGCCUAGUAGUAUCCAUGGGGAUCCAUAAGGGGUCCCCGCUACACGUGAACCAUUAACAUUAAUAAUCUGAUUCCAGGGUCGUCCCCAUACCCCGUCCGGUAUGGACGCCAAAACCAUGAACCUCAAUACUCCGUCCGGUAUGAGGGUGAAACGGGCCGUCCCCAUACCCUGUCCGGUAUGGGCGCCAAAACUAUAAACCUCAAUACCCCGUUCGGCAUAAGGGUGAAAGGGGCCGUCCCCACACCCCGUCCGGUAUGGGCGCCAAAACACAUAAGGUCUCUAUACCCCGUCUGAUAUGAGAGACCACGUUCCCGGUAGAGUUCCCUACGGACCCGGUCCGUCCACUAUCUCCCAGGAUAUCUAGUCAGGCUGUCCACAUUAUCCAUUUGUCAAUUCACAUAAC
rnacentral:lncRNA from 1 species